GACGAACGCUGGCUGCGUGCUUAACACAUGCAAGUCGAACGGAAAGGCCCUGCUUUUGUGGGGUGCUCGAGUGGCGAACGGGUGAGUAACACGUGAGUAACCUGCCCUUGACUUUGGGAUAACUUCAGGAAACUGGGGCUAAUACCGGAUAGGAGCUCCUGCUGCAUGGUGGGGGUUGGAAAGUUUCGGCGGUUGGGGAUGGACUCGCGGCUUAUCAGCUUGUUGGUGGGGUAGUGGCUUACCAAGGCUUUGACGGGUAGCCGGCCUGAGAGGGUGACCGGCCACAUUGGGACUGAGAUACGGCCCAGACUCCUACGGGAGGCAGCAGUGGGGAAUAUUGCACAAUGGGCGGAAGCCUGAUGCAGCAACGCCGCGUGCGGGAUGACGGCCUUCGGGUUGUAAACCGCUUUCGCCUGUGACGAAGCGUGAGUGACGGUAAUGGGUAAAGAAGCACCGGCUAACUACGUGCCAGCAGCCGCGGUGAUACGUAGGGUGCGAGCGUUGUCCGGAUUUAUUGGGCGUAAAGGGCUCGUAGGUGGUUGAUCGCGUCGGAAGUGUAAUCUUGGGGCUUAACCCUGAGCGUGCUUUCGAUACGGGUUGACUUGAGGAAGGUAGGGGAGAAUGGAAUUCCUGGUGGAGCGGUGGAAUGCGCAGAUAUCAGGAGGAACACCAGUGGCGAAGGCGGUUCUCUGGGCCUUUCCUGACGCUGAGGAGCGAAAGCGUGGGGAGCGAACAGGCUUAGAUACCCUGGUAGUCCACGCUGUAAACGGUGGGUACUAGGUGUGGGGUCCAUUCCACGGGUUCCGUGCCGUAGCUAACGCUUUAAGUACCCGCCUGGGGAGUACGGCCGCAAGGCUAAAACUCAAAGGAAUUGACGGGGCCCCGCACAAGCGGCGGAGCAUGCGGAUUAAUUCGAUGCAACGCGUAGAACCUUACCUGGGUUUGACAUGGAUCGGGAGUGCUCAGAGAUGGGUGUGCCUCUUUUGGGGUCGGUUCACAGGUGGUGCAUGGCUGUCGUCAGCUCGUGUCGUGAGAUGUUGGGUUAAGUCCCGCAACGAGCGCAACCCUUGUUCACUGUUGCCAGCACGUUAAGGUGGGGACUCAGUGGAGACCACCGGGGUCGACUCGGAGGAAGGUGGGGAUGACGUCAAGUCAUCAUGCCCCUUAUGUCCAGGGCUUCACGCAUGCUACAAUGGCUGGUACAGAGAGUGGCGAGCCUGUGAGGGUGAGCGAAUCUCGGAAAGCCGGUCUCAGUUCGGAUUGGGGUCUGCAACUCGACCUCAUGAAGUCGGAGUCGCUAGUAAUCGCAGAUCAGCAACGCUGCGGUGAAUACGUUCCCGGG
rnacentral:rRNA from 1 species